AACGCACGAGACCUGCGGACCUGCGGAGGGAUCAUUAAUGAAACUUUUGGGUCGACUUGUUAUCUGUGCUGGUGGCAACACAUGUGCACGUUAACAGGUCGCAUAUCCACACCCCUUGUGCAUUGUAUGACUCCGAGUUGCCCCUUGUGUGCCUUAUAGGCCUGACAACUCUGGAGUACUUUUAUACACUCUUGAAUGUACUGGAAUGUCUAUUGUGCAUAAUGUACAACAGAAACAACU
rnacentral:misc_RNA from 1 species